ACUCCUACGGGAGGCAGCAGUGGGAAUAUUGCACAAUGGGGAAGCCAUCGAUGCAGCCAUGCCGCGCUGUGUGAAGAAGGCCAAUUCGGGCUUUGGUUAAGACACUUUUCAGUAGGGAGGAAGGUAGUGUAGUUAACACCUGCAUUAUUUGACGUUACCUACAGAAGAAGCACCGGCUAACUCCGUGCCAGCAGCCGCGGUAAUACGGAGGGUGCGAGCGUUAAUCGGAAUUACUGGGCGUAAAGCGCAUGCAGGCGGCCUGUUAAGUCAGAUGUGAAAGCCCGGGCUU
rnacentral:rRNA from 1 species